UGGGAGCCAGGUCUUGGGGAACAACAGU
rnacentral:piRNA from 1 species